CCUACGGGGGGCUGCAGUGGGGAAUAUUGGGCAAUGGAGGCAACUCUGACCCAGCAACGCCGCGUGAAUGAUGAAGGUCUUCGGAUUGUAAAGUUCUGUGAUGGGGGAUGAACACAAUGACGGUACCCCAAUAGCAAGCCACGGCUAACUACGUGCCAGCAGCCGCGGUAAUACGUAGGUGGCAAGUGUUAUCCGGAAUGACUGGGCGUAAAGGGUGCGUAGGUGGUUUAGUAAGUUGGCGGUGUAAUUCCGGGGCUCAACCUCGGCGCUACCGCCAAAACUAUUAGACUAGAGUGCAGGAGGGGUAAGUGGAAUUCCUAGUGUAGCGGUGGAAUGCGUAGAUAUUAGGAGGAACAUCAGGGGCGAAGGCGACUUACUGGGCCGUAAUUGACGCUGAGGAACGAAAGCCAGGGUAGCAAAUGGGAUUAGAUACCCCUGUAGUC
rnacentral:rRNA from 1 species